UAUUCCUCGAACUCUUCUCAAUUGAACGCUAGGCGGCAGGCCUAACACAUGCAAGUCGAGCGGUAGAGAGGUGCUUGCACCUCUUGAGAGCGGCGGACGGGUGCAGUAAUGCCUAGGAAUCUGCCUGGUAGUGGGGGAUAACGCUCGGAAACGGACGCUAAUACCGCAUACGUCCUACGGGAGAAAGCAGGGGACCUUCGGGCCUUGCGCUAUCAGAUGAGCCUAGGUCGGAUUAGCUAGUUGGUGAGGUAAUGGCUCACCAAGGCGACGAUCCGUAACUGGUCUGAGAGGAUGAUCAGUCACACUGGAACUGAGACACGGUCCAGACUCCUACGGGAGGCAGCAGUGGGGAAUAUUGGACAAUGGGCGAAAGCCUGAUCCAGCCAUGCCGCGUGUGUGAAGAAGGUCUUCGGAUUGUAAAGCACUUUAAGUUGGGAGGAAGGGCAUUAACCUAAUACGUUAGUGUUUUGACGCUACCGACAGAAUAAGCACCGGCUAACUCUGUGCCAGCAGCCGCGGUAAUACAGAGGGUGCAAGCGUUAAUCGGAAUUACUGGGCGUAAAGCGCGCGUAGGUGGUUCGUUAAGUUGGAUGUGAAAUCCCCGGGCUCAACCUGGGAACUGCAUUCAAAACUGUCGAGCUAGAGUAUGGUAGAGGGUGG
rnacentral:rRNA from 1 species